UUUGGGUCAGAUGGUCAACAACUGCACAUAUUUCUUUUUUCUUCUUUGACUUAAGUGAAGGGAGUAACAAGAGAGUUUUCUCUGCAGGAGAAAGAGUUGGGGGUGGGGUGGGGAGUCAACAAAUAUGUCCCACCACCUGUUUCUAUAAAGUUUUAUUGGAACAUAUCCAUGCCCAUUUCGUAACUUGUUGACUGUGCAUACAGCCUAUGCUCACUUUCAUGCUAAAACAGCUGAAUUGAGUAGUUGCAACAGAGAUAUGACUUUCAAAGCCUAACAUAAUUGCUGCCUGGUCCUGUAUAAAAACAAUUGUGGAUCCCUGACAUUUGACUAUAACCAAUACUAGUUGGGAAGGCCAGUGGAAAGGCAUGUGGCCACAUGGAGGAGGCUAAAAUAAAAGUGUUUGAUAAAUAAUCCAGAGGAUGGCUACUUAGUUCUUAAUUAAUUUGUAGUUACAUAUUUUCUCGAUUUGUACAAUUGCUGAGAUCUGUUACAUUAUUUGUAAAUAAAACUAUCCUCGUUGACAUAUUAUAA
rnacentral:lncRNA from 1 species